AGUGAACGCUGGCGGUAUGCCUAACACAUGCAAGUCGAACGGCAGCACAGUAAGAUCUUGCUCUUACGGGUGGCGAGUGGCGGACGGGUGAGGAAUACAUCGGAAUCUACUUUUUCGUGGGGGAUAACGUAGGGAAACUUACGCUAAUACCGCAUACGACCUACGGGUUAAAGCAGGGGAUCUUCGGACCUUUCGCGAUUGAAUGAGCCGAUGUCGGAUUAGCUAGUUGGCGGGGUAAAGGCCCACCAAGGCGACGAUCCGUAGCUGGUCUGAGAGGAUGAUCAGCCACACUGGAACUGAGACACGGUCCAGACUCCUACGGGAGGCAGCAGUGGGGAAUAUUGGACAAUGGGCGCAAGCCUGAUCCAGCCAUACCGCGUGGGUGAAGAAGGCCUUCGGGUUGUAAAGCCCUUUUGUUGGGAAAGAAAAGCAGCAGGUUAAUACCCCGCUGUUCUGACGGUACCCAAAGAAUAAGCACCGGCUAACUUCGUG
rnacentral:rRNA from 1 species